rnacentral:rRNA from 1 species
GAUGAACGCUGGCGGCGUGCUUAACACAUGCAAGUCGAACGGUGAAGGCGGAGCUUGCUCUGCUGGAUCAGUGGCGAACGGGUGAGUAACACGUGAGCAAUCUGCCCCUGACUCUGGGAUAAGCGCUGGAAACGGCGUCUAAUACUGGAUACGAGCUGCGCAGGCAUCUUCAGCAGCUGGAAAGAAGUGCGGUCAGGGCUGAGCGCGCGGCCUACCAGCUUGUUGGUGAGGUAGUGGCUCACCAAGGCAUCGACGGGUAGCCGGCCCGAGAGGGUGACCGGCCACACUGGGACUGCGGCACGGCCCAGACUCCUACGGGAGGCAGCAGUGGGAAAUAUUGCACAAUGGGCGCAAGCCUGAUGAAGCAACGCCGCGUGUGGGAAGACGGCCUUCGGGUUGUAAAAAUCUUUUAGCAGAGAAGACGCGAAAGUGACGGUACCUGCAGAAAAAGCGCCGGCUAACUACGUG